UGGGGAAUCUUGCGCAAUGGGCGAAAGCCUGACGCAGCGACGCCGCGUGUGGGAUGACGGCCUUCGGGUUGUAAACCACUGUCGGGAGGGACGAAGAUCUGACGGUACCUCCAAAGGAAGCACCGGCUAACUCUGUGCCAGCAGCCGCGGUAAUACAGAGGGUGCAAGCGUUGUCCGGAAUCACUGGGCGUAAAGGGCGCGUAGGCGGCCUGGUAAGUCGGGGGUGAAACGCUGCGGCUCAACCGCAGCACUGCCUUCGAGACUGUCAGGCUUGAGCACGGUAGAGGCUGGUGGAAUUCCCGGUGUAGCGGUGGAAUGCGUAGAGAUCGGGAAGAACAUCGGUGGCGAAGGCGGCCAGCUGGGCCAACACUGACGCUCAUGCACGAAAGCGUGGGGAGCAAACAGGAUUAGAUACCCUGGUAGUCCACGCCCUAAACGAUGACGACUAGUUGUUGGAGGAGUUAAAUCCUUUAGUAACGAAGCUAACGCGCGAAGUCGUCCGCCUGGGGAGUACGGUCGCAAGAUUA
rnacentral:rRNA from 1 species